rnacentral:rRNA from 1 species
CAGGGAAUCUUGCGCAAUGGGCGAAAGCCUGACGCAGCGACACCGCGUGGGGGAUGAAGGCCCUAGGGUUGUAAACCCCUUUUCUCGGGGAAGAGUAAGGACGGUACCUGAGGAAUAAGGAUCGGCUAACUACGUGCCAGCAGCCGCGGUAAUACGUAGGAUUCGAGCGUUGUCCGGAUUUACUGGGCGUAAAGGGUGCGUAGGCGGCAUGGUAAGUCUCAUGUGAAAUCUCCCGGCCUAACUGGGAGGGGUCAUGGGAAACUGCCAAGCUUGAGGGCAGCAGAGGAGAGCGGAAUUCCGGGAGUAGUGGUGAAAUGCGUAGAUACCCGGAGGAACACCCGAGGCGAAAGCGGCUCUCUGGGCUGUACCUGACGCUGAGGCACGAAAGCGUGGGGAGCAAACCGGAUUAGAUACCCCUGUAGUCC